UGUACCCUGUAGCCUCGUUCUGGCUGCCGGGAGAAUAAGGCGAAUUGAUAAUAUACUUGCUUUCUCAGGUAAAGAAACAGCAAUACCUUUCAGAUAAUAUGUUAGACAUGUCCAGAAGGUUGAUGGACAAGGUUCUCUACAGUACAAUCUGGAUGUUGCCGCAGGCAUCUCACGAAAUGAAACUUCAAGAUUCACAAAGAUUCAAAAGGUCUACAAGGCCAUCUAUAAGGAUCUAGAGAAGGAAUUUGGUUCAGAGGAGCUCAUUUUGAAAGCUAUGGAGUCUCAGGAUCCAUUCUUUGAGGAGACUGUGAUCACAUGAUAAACAAGUGAGCUAAGGUGAACAAGGACUCUAGUUGUGAUAGUUUUGUCUCCUGCACCAAAUGAGGAUGAGAUCGAGGGCCAAAGCGAUUCCACUUUCUCCAGCCCAGAGGAGAAGACGCAGCCUAGGAAGGGUUUACUUUGUCUCCUUGGAAAGAUGCCCAAGAUUAAUCAGAAGAAAUUCAAGAUUGGUGUCAAGAAAGACAGCCUCAAAUAUGCCUCCAGCAAAGAUGAAACUAUUGAAACGGCCUGUUCUAAUACAGUGUCUGGCUUUUCCUCUGAAGACAAGCCUCGUAGAUGCAACCUACGAACCCAGAAUGAUCUGUGCACUGCCCAAGGAGUCAUCUUCAUCUUAAAGACCUCCUAAAUAUUUUCAAAACAUACACCUUCUAAUAAACUUAUGAGCAUUAUGUCAGUCAGAUGUACUGUCAGAUUACUUGAUGUGGCUGAAUCUGACAUACUGUAUAUAGUUACACAAACACAAUCUGUUA